ACGGCUCAGUAACACGUGGACAACCUGCCCUUAGGUUGGGUAUAAACCCGGGAAACUGGGUAUAAUACCCGAUAGGUCUCGAUUGCUGGAAUGCAUCGAGAUUUAAAGCUCCGGCGCCUAAGGAUGGGUCUGCGGCCUAUCAGGUAGUAGUGGGUGUAGCGUACCUACUAGCCUACGACGGGUACGGGUUGUGAGAGCAAGAGCCCGGAGAUGGAUUCUGAGACACGAAUCCAGGCCCUACGGGGUGCAGCAGGCGCGAAAACUUUACAAUGCUGGCAACAGCGAUAAGGGAACCUCGAGUGCCGGGUUACAAAUCUGGCUGUCGAGAUGCCUAAAAAGCAUUUCAUAGCAAGGGCCGGGCAAGACCGGUGCCAGCCGCCGCGGUAACACCGGCGGCUCGAGUGGUAACCGUUAUUAUUGGGUCUAAAGGGUCUGUAGCCGGCCGGAUAAGUCUCUUGAGAAAUCUGGCAGCUUAACUGUCAGGCUUUCAGGAGAUACUGUCUGGCUCGAGGCCGGGAGAGGUGAGAGGUACUUCAGGGGUAGGGGUGAAAUCUUGUAAUCCUUGAAGGACCACCAGUGGCGAAGGCGUCUCACCAGAACGGACCUGACGGCAAGGGACGAAAGCUAGGGGCACGAACCGGAUUAGAUACCCGGGUAGUCCUAGCCGUAAACGAUACUCGCUAGGUGUCGGCCACGGUGCGACCGUUGUCGGUGCCGUAGGGAAGCCGUGAAGCGAGCCACCUGGGAAGUACGGCCGCAAGGCUGAAACUUAAAGGAAUUGGCGGGGGAGCAC
rnacentral:rRNA from 1 species